rnacentral:rRNA from 1 species
UACGAAGGGGGCUAGCGUUGCUCGGAAUCACUGGGCGUAAAGGGUGCGUAGGCGGGUCUUUAAGGCAGGGGGGAAAUCCUGGAGCUCAACUCCAGAACUGCCUUCGAUACUGGCGAUCUUGAGUCCGGAAGAGGUGAGUGGAACUCCUAGUGUAGAGGUGGAAUUCGUAGAUAUUAGGAAGAACACCAGUGGCGAAGGCGGCUCACUGGUCCGGUACUGACGCUGAGGUGCGAAAGCGUGGGGAGCAAACAGG